ACUCCUACGGGAGGCAGGCAGUGGGGAAUUUUGGACAAUGGGCGCAAGCCUAGAUCCAGCCAAUGCCGCGUGCAGGAUGAAGGCCCUUCGGGUUGUAAAACUGCUUUUGUAGCGGAAACGAAAUGAUCGUUAGGUUAAUCACCCUGGGAAUCAUGACGGUACCGUAAGAAUAAGCACCGGCUAACUACGUGCCAGCAGCCGCGGUAAUACGUAGGGUGCAAGCGUUAAUCGGAAUUACUGGGCGUAAAGCGUGCGCAGGCGG
rnacentral:rRNA from 1 species